GUAUAUGUGUAGAUCUUUCCUGAUUUCAGAUCAUUGACUAUUUUUGGUGCAAUUAAUACAAUUCCUUCUAAAUUUGCAUGAAAAUAUAGAAAAAUAAUUGGAACAGAAGUUCGCAGCUAAAUUUCUUUUUGCUAAACCUAGUGAUGAUUGAUUAUUACUAUUUUGUUAGCUCAUCAUAUGGUGUGAUAUUUGAAACUGUUCAAUAAAUUCCUAAGUAGUCUAUCUGUUUUCAUCCUUUGCUGAACAAUAUUUUCAUUGGUAGCAGCUAUGUGUUUAUGGAAUUGCUUCCUUCGCAGCAGCUAAUAGCUAUGGAAGAGUAAAAAAGGAGAGGGAGUUCAGGGCAGAGCAAGGAUGCCUCCAUCCACCGCAGCGGUACUUCCAGAAAAUCGUGGACCAGCGGUUGGCUUCAAGCUGUCCUUCCACUUUGCCUCCACACUUGCACGUCCACCUUCAACUCCAAGAAGGCCUCCACAAUUGACAAGAGCUGCAGGGAUGGAUCGCCCCAAUCUGGCAUAUUUGGACAUAGCUGAUGGCAAACGAUAUACAGUUAUGCACUCUUCUCCCUUCUCUUGCCAAUGAAUCAUUUCCCUAUCACUUACACUGCACUCCACAUGUUUGUUGUAUUGCAUCUUAUUAGGACAAAAAGCAGCCUGGAGGAAAGGGAACAAAAGCAAUCUUCAAAAGAUUUAAUAUAGCCCUUCAUCUGGAGUAUAUGUUUUCCACCAACUAUUUAGUACUAUUUUUUACCUCUACCUCCCUUAAUUCAAGGUAAAAUUGAAAAUAUCAUUCAAAAGUUUGUAAAAUACUAUGUAAUUAUUUUUAAGACAAGCUAGCUAUAUGAAGUUUUUAAGAUAUAACCUCUAUUAUUAGCUACUGGUUCUCUCUGGUGAAACAAGUAUACAAUUAAUCAAUCUGUCCAUUGCGACUUUAAAGCAAAAGCUUUGCUUACCUGUCCCUGCUUUUCUACAAAUUAAGUUGAAAACAUAGUAUGAUGUAGUUUAUAUGAUGGCUAGGACAGUGGCACAGUUGCUUGCAAGACAAUUUUUUCCCCUUUCGAACAAACUACAUAUUUAUUUUAUAUAGUACAAGUUAUUUGUUCAGCCCAUUUCCAAAUGGGCUAAUUUUGCACUUUGAUUAGGCCUUUGCUUAUAUAUUAACUCUUUUUAACAUUCUAUUGGUGCUGCUGCUGAGUGCCAUUUCUCAUUCUGAGCUUUCAGCAGGGCAGCUUGCUUUUUAAGUGUAGGAAUUGGUGGAAGCAGAGUUGGUUUGUUUCUGCUCAUCAUCAUUUCAGGUGGUCAACAAUAGCACUUCUCGAGUAACUAUGCAUAAGUGGAAGCAAUUCAUCGUAGUAAAAAAAAAUGUGUGCCUUCCGUUUGCACAUCAACAAGAAGGCCCUUGCAGUAAAGCAGUAAUGCAAUCCUCUGAAUUCAUGGGGGAAAGGGCAAUUAAUGCAAAAGCAUCCAAACCACAUUAGAAUUUAGCCAUCUGUAAUGUAGUUGUAUGUGCUCAUCUAGCAGAACUGUUGCAAUGCUACUGCUAUAAAGCUACCAUGUACUGCCUAUCCUGUAAUCAAACAAAUGGCAGGUUUUGUUAUGUACUUACUGUCCACAAUUUGCAUACAACAUAUCGUUAUACUUAUACAUGUCCUUCACUGAACUUACAAAGAACAUUGUUUUAGCUA